UACAGUUGGAUUUUUCUUUUUCUCUGCCUUCUAAUGCUUGUCACAUGUCUUUGUCUUUUAUCAGAACUGAAUGGUUAUCCUGACUUAGGGAAAACACAAAAGCACGGAGUUAAAUCACAGCAUGAAGUCAAGACAACUGAGCCUGAAAAUGCAAAAGAGUUAAGACAGCAGGCUCCUCUGUGUCAUGCAGGCAUUACUGUCACUGAGAAUGUCCUGGCUUCAGAUUUCUGCCUUCCUCUUUGCUGACGUGAAUCAGAUUUACCUUCUCCAAAAAAACCCACUUUACCAAAUAGCGUGAUAUUUCUGAUGACAUUAGAGUUACUCCAUACUCUUGAGAUGUGCAGAUUGAUGCUGGAUGGAGGCAUCUCCAGGGGGCUAUGCAAGAUACGCAUUGCAGUAGAGAGAAUUGUUAUUUUCUCUCCAGUGACAGUUUCAAAAUUAACAGGAAAGCUGUUAUCGUCAGCUUGUCCCCAGUACAAAAACUGCCCUGUAAGACAACACAUAGAAGCUGACAGCAAG
rnacentral:lncRNA from 1 species